AAACCAUGAUGAGGACACAUUCUAAUUAAGAGUUGAAUCUUUGCCAUGCGUCAUACAAACUUUCUCCAUCAUAUUAAGUAAACCUUGUUAACUUGUCCCUGUAUUC